GGAGAGGUGCAGGAGUGGCUGAACUGGCUCGCUUGGAAAGCGUGUAAACCUCAUAAGGGUUUCGAGGGUUCGAAUCCCUCUCUCUCCGCCA
rnacentral:tRNA from 1 species